rnacentral:rRNA from 1 species
GUGCGUAGGCGGUUUGGUAAGUCUCUUGUGAAAACUCCGGGCUCAACUCGGAGCCUGCAGGAGAAACUGCCGGGCUUGAGUGUGGGAGAGGUGAGUGGAAUUCCUGGUGUAGCGGUGAAAUGCGUAGAUAUCAGGAGGAACACCUGUGGCGAAAGCGGCUCACUGGACCACAACUGACGCUGAUGCACGAAAGCUAGGGGAGCAAACAGGAUUAGAUACCCCGGUAGUCCACGCCCUAAACGAUGUGUACUAGGUGUUGGGCGUAUUGACGCGCUCAGUGCCGCAGCCAACGCAAUAAGUACACCGCCUGGGGAGUACGGCCGCAAGGUUAAAACUCAAAGGAAUUGACGGGGACCCGCACAAGCGGUGGAGCAUGUGGUUUAAUUCGAUGCAACGCGAAGAACCUUACCUGGUCUUGACAUCCCAGGAACCCUGUAGAGAUACGGGGGUGCCUUCGGGAACCUGGAGACAGGUGCUGCAUGGCUGUCGUCAGCUCGUGUCGUGAGAUGUUGGGUUAAGUCCCGCAACGAGCGCAACCCUUGUCCUUAGUU